rnacentral:misc_RNA from 1 species
UAUAACAAAAUGCAGGGAUAAAACUCA